rnacentral:lncRNA from 1 species
GUAGAUUCGUGUCACGUGUCGGUUCAGCAAACUAGCCCACACCCGUCCCUGUUAUGAAAACACCCUCAUUUUUGCAUAUAUCAUGCCUGAUUCUAUAUAAACAAACAAGCUUCCAAUAUUCUCUCCUUUUUGUGGUAGCCAUUUCCAUAGUGGUUGCUUGGCACAUUGUAUCCAUUAUUCAGCAUAAUUUUUCCUCUUCCCCUUUCUUUUCAUUGAAUGCAACUUUUUAAUAGCUAGUAGCCAUCAUUAUUUUCGUGGCUUUCUAUUCAUUUUCAAGAUUUAAUUGGGAAGGAAGUGGAACCCAAAAAAAAAAAAAAAAUAAGUAUAGCUGGUUUCCCAACAGUGUCAGAUUCAAGCAAAGACUGUUAAUGAUGGCAAAGCGAGCAGGCUCGAGGCUGGCUGAGAGAACAAGUAGAGAUACAGUCGAUAUGGGAAAUAUAUGGUGAAGAUUGACAAAUUAUGUUCCAGGGCGUGGAUAUCUUAAAUUGACGGUAAAAUAGGGAUUCUAGCCAAUUUAGAAAUUUGAUAGCUUCUCUAUCACAAUCACAUUUCCUCAAAAUUGCUUUCACGCUUAGUUCUUUUUGGAUGAUUAACAUGCUUGAAAUAAAUUUGGAAUUUGAAUGAUUGCUAUAUGUUGAAACUAUUUUGUUUGAUCUAAGCAAAUUGCUUGUUUUCAUUGUUUUCCACAUCUAUUUUAUCACUUUUCUUUUUAUCUUUGCUGAAAUCAUACGUGCUCUUUUCAUGCUUUAUAAAUUGAAGUCCCCUUCUCUUGGUUAACAUACCUGACCUUUAUAUCAUAAUACUGCAGUGGCAUGCUAGUUCAAGAUCCUUCGAAUGGUAAUGAUGUGGAUGCAAUCUUUGAUCAAGCUAGGCAGAUGGGAGCCAUACAAGGGCCCUUGUAGAAUUUUCAACCAUCUUCAGGCUCAAGUAGCAUUACUGGGACCUGAUGAUUAGUCUGGUGAAAUUGUACCAUCUGCUCCUCAACAACCUGAGUCUUUAUACACAAUAUUGUUUUCUGGAGAAAUGGUUUCACAGUUAAUGAUGGUCCUUUGGGAAGGUUGGAUGAUCCUGAAAAUGCACCAUUUCUGGAGGUAACAGGCAAUGGGCAUUGAGCUAUAGAUGUAACAUAAUAAAAAUAGAAAAUCAAUAAAUAUGGGUUUAAGAUAAUAUCUGCCUGAUAAUUCUGAUUGAUAUUCUAGAAUUGUAUUACUAGUAGCCAAUUAACUGACAUAUUAUGUACAUGGGUAAGAAUUAGAUUAUAAACCAUUAGUUUUCCAGAACACAACAUCUGUUUAAAUCUAAUUAAACUACUCUCUCCCCUUUUUUGUCCAAUAUUCUCUAUCGCCUGCCUGUAUAACAUUUCUA